rnacentral:rRNA from 1 species
AUUGAACGCUGGCGGCAGGCUUAACACAUGCAAGUCGAACGGAGUGGCGGACGGGUGAGUAAUGCUUGGGAAUCUAGCUUAUGGAGGGGGAUAACAGUUGGAAACGACUGCUAAUACCGCAUACUGAAGGAGGGGAUUGCGUCGGAUUAGCUAGUUGGAGGGGUAACGGCCCACCAAGGCGAUGAUCAGUAGCCGGUCUGAGAGGAUGAUCAGUCACACUGGAACUGAGACACGGUCCAGACUCCUACGGGAGGCAGCAGUGGGGAAUAUUGGACAAUGGGCGAAAGCCUGAUCCAGCCAUGCCGCGUGUGUGAAGAAGGUCUUCGGAUUGUAAAGCACUUUAAGUUGGGAGGCGUUACCAACAGAAUAAGCACCGGCUAACUUCGUGCCAGCAGCCGCGGUAAUAC